rnacentral:lncRNA from 1 species
UUACCUUUAUUUUAAACAGCUCUCCUUUUUGGAUUAAUAAUAACUGACAUUUAGAAAGCAUUUGAAAGUUUACAAAACAUUUUUCAUAUAUUGUUUCAUUUUAGCCUCAACAUAAACCUGAGAGAGUUAUGAUAAGUAAUAUCAGUCUUAUUUUACAGGUGAAGAAACUUGGACCGAAAAAGUCAUCCAUGGUUAUCCAGCUGGUAAGACAGACAGAAAAAUAAAUGUCUAUCCAUGAGGAACAGAAGAGAAGCUGUGAAGUACACAGGAAAAUUACAAGGUAGAAUAAGUAGAGGUAAUCUUCUCUUCUUCCUGACUGCCACCUUGGAGAAUCCUUCAUUGCCUUCAUGAAGAAUAACCACAAAGACUAAGACCUUGUCAAUGAAGUCUUUCCUGAUGCCUCUUUUUCCCACAGAGCAUCAGAAUUAAACAAUGAGUUUGAAAAGGCCUUGAAAAAAAGAAGGGUGUUAUCAAAAUAGAAGGGAUAUUUUAAAAAACUUAACCAGUAACCAAGACACAAUAUAAUGCAUGCUAUUAAAAAGAAUAAAUUAUUUUCUCUGCAUUUCAAGUUCUACUGUUUUGAUCAGCAUGGUGAUUAUGACAUCCAUGAGGACAAAGACAGUCCAAGUCUGAACACUGACAUCUUCCACUGGUCUCCCAUGUCAUAUUUGGAACUAUGGUAUGACCACACAGUUGGUUUCCUGCUCCCCCCCCUUCUUCCAGCCCCACCUCCUCUCUCCUCAGAAACCCUUAGCAGUAGUAAAAUAAGUCAAAUCAACAUUCCUCACUACUCACCCAGUGGAAAUCAUGCUGGCCUUGUGAGGAGUCAGGGGAAUGAGCCCUGGUUCACCAGCGGUCGACGUCAACCCGAUGGCUACCCUCACAAGGUUUAGCCGGCCUGUCGAAGCCGUUGCCUGGGUUGUGGCAGCUGCUGCAUGCUAGCAGCUACUAGGAGCCAGAAGUGAGAGCUGGGCAUCAGGUGAGGGUCAGAGGCUGGAGAGCUGCCCUAGGAGGGCAGGACAAGCCCUCUAUACCAGAGAUACUACUCCUCCCUGAACACCCCAUACACCCCUAGGAAGACAAUAUAGUUCUUAAAAAGUGCUAGAUUUCUAAUUAGGAGUUAAGAGCCUAGAUCUCAAAUUCCAGCAUUCACACUUACAUGUUGGGAGUGUCUACUUGGCCUCAGAGAAUAGAAGUAGGAACAGUGGGUAACAGUUACAGAUUUUGGCUUCAUACAUGGAAAAACUAUCUGACAACUGGAGCUACUGAAAAAUAGAUUGAACUGCCCCAAGAGGUAGAGAGCUCAAU